rnacentral:rRNA from 1 species
AUGAAACAAACAGUUGGUUCGCACUUCUUGAAACAGUGGGAACUUACAAGUGAUGAGGACAUGAAUACCUUGGAUACGACCAAAAAUAUUGCAUACAUGCAUAUUUGUCAGGUGAUUUCUAAUGCAAACUAUUCAAUAAUCUAUUUAUGUUAUCCAGAACAAAAAUACUUCACACACUUUUGUGUUUUGUCUAAUUGCAGGUGUAUGGGACAUUUGUACAAUCCACAUAUGAAGAUAAGGGAAAAGGAGAAGUUUAGGUUGUGUUCAAAAAGUCCUCUCACGUCACUUUUGGGCCAAGAGAAGAUAGAGUCCAAGUCUCUCACGUUUUGGAUUCAGAUUCGGACUGCACAGACAUACCUGACUCAAAACACCAACAACUUUUUCAUACGGACUCCGAAUUGGGUGAUUCUUUUUUUGUUGGAAACUAGAUUUCGUGCUCUUUCCAACCCAAUUGGAUUCACCUUCAAAUUCGUCCGGAGCGUUGAGUUACGGACGAAACAAUCUGACAUUGCAGCAGAAUCCGAGUCAAACUACAAGCCCAAAGGUGUUGCAUCACCUCCACUUGGGCCCAUGAGCCUUGUACGACCUAGGGUUAGUUUUAGGCUGCCUUGGGACGUCCUCCCACCUCCUUGGCCGCCACCCCUUACUCCUAUAUAA